AUUUUUUUAAUUAUUUUAAUUUUUUUAGUAUUUUUGAACUUUUAUAAGUACCUAGUUUCUGUUUAAUUAAAUAAUGUUAAGUUCACUAUAGAUACAGAACACAAAUUUGAUCAACAUUUUGAUGAUUGUAACAAUAUAAGUUACAAAAUAAAGUAUGAAGAAUUUUGUAUAAAAUGAAUUCCACUGGUGAUUCUGUUUCAUAUCUCGGCCACAAAAUCUUUACUUAACACAUGCGAGUGUAAUCGAUUCAUAGAUGUAAAAGCAAACAACAAACACAUUCAAACCUUCAUAACUCAAAUCAUACAUAAAGUGCAUACUGCAUACCUCAUUCAAUAAUAAAGAAGAAUUUAAUAUUCCAUAUUAAAUGAUAGAAUUCGGUGUUUCCGCAGGAGUUCAUUUUCUGUGGCUGGUUCAGAUAUUAAAUAUGUGAUCUAUUAUUACUAAACAUAGAUUGUUGGUUUUUAUUUAUUGUCUUAUUAUACUUUUAUACUAUUUAAAUGCAAAUUUCAUCUAUAAAAAUAAAAAAAUAAAAUAAUGAU